rnacentral:rRNA from 1 species
UACGUAGGGGGCAAGCGUUGUCCGGAAUCAUUGGGCGUAAAGAGCGUGUAGGCGGCUCGGUAAGUCCGCUGUAAAAGUCCAGGGCUCAACCCUGGAAAGCCGGUGGAAACUGUCGAGCUAGGACCGGAAGAGGCGAGUGGAAUUCCUGGUGUAGCGGUGAAAUGCGCAGAUAUCAGGAAGAACACCCGUGGCUAAGGCGGCUCUCUAGUACGGUACUGACGCUGAGACGCGAAAGCGUGGGGAGCGAACAGG